rnacentral:rRNA from 1 species
CCCGGCACAAGCGGUGGAGGAUGUGGUUUAAUUCGACGCAACGCGAAGAACCUUACCUAGGCUUGACAUGCUGGUGAAAACCAUGGAAACAUGGUCCUCCCGUAAGGGACAUCAGUACAGGUGGUGCAUGGCUGUCGUCAGCUCGUGUCGUGAGAUGUUGGGUUAAGUCCCGCAACGAGCGCAACCCUUAUUGUCAGUUGCCAGCAUUCAGUUGGGCACUCUGGCGAGACUGCCGUUGACAAAACGGAGGAAGGUGGGGACGACGUCAAAUCAUCAUGCCCCUUAUGUCCUGGGCUACACACGUACUACAAUGGCAAUAACAGAGGGCAGCCAAACCGCGAGGUUGAGCGAAUCCCAAAAUAUUGUCUCAGUUCAGAUUGCAGGCUGCAACUCGCCUGCAUGAAGUCGGAAUUGCUAGUAAUGGCAGGUCAGCAUACUGCCGUGAAUACGUUCCCGGGCCUU